CGCAAGCCUGACGGAGCAAGACCGCGUGGGGGAGGAAAGCCUUUGGGUUGUAAACCCCUUUUCUCAGGGAAGAAGAAAGUGACGGUACCUGAGGAAUCAGCCUCGGCUAACUCCGUGCCAGCAGCCGCGGUAAUACGGAGGAUGCAAGCGUUAUCCGGAAUUAUUGGGCGUAAAGCGUCCGCAGGUGGCUUGUCAAGUCUGCUGUCAAAACCCAGGGCUCAACUCUGGUCAGGCAGUGGAGACUACAUAGCUAGAGUUCGGUAGGGGCAAAGGGAAUUCCCGGUGUAGCGGUGAAAUGCGUAGAGAUCGGGAAGAACAUCGGUGGCGAAAGCGCUCUGCUGGGCCGCAACUGACACUGAGGGACGAAAGCUAGGGGAGCG
rnacentral:rRNA from 1 species